UACGUAGGGUGCAAGCGUUGUCCGGAUUUAUUGGGCGUAAAGAGCUCGUAGGCGGUCUGUCGCGUCGAAUGUGAAAGCCCAGGGCUCAACCCUGGGUCUGCAUUCGAUACGGGCAGACUAGAGUAUGGCAGGGGAGACUGGAAUUCCUGGUGUAGCGGUGAAAAUGCGCAGAUAUCAGGAGGAACACCGGUGGCGAAGGCGGGUCUCUGGGCCAAAAACUGACGCUGAGGAGCGAAAAGCGUGGGGGAGCGAACAGG
rnacentral:rRNA from 1 species